GUAUUUAUAGUCUCGCUGCCUGUGCAUCCUCACAGCAAGCGGUACCGCCACAUUUACCCUGGAGGUAAACCCCUCUUGAAUACAGCCUGUUCAAGAUGGGUUUAAAGAAUGAUUAUGAGUCCAAGUGCGAGGGAGAGUGGCUUUGGUGGUGGUUUUUGUAAAAAUACACACUCACCACCUCCAAACCAGCGAUCACUUUAGGGAGAUCACUCUGUUUUCUGUCUUUUGAAAAGGCGAACAUGUUGAAAUGUUCAUCUCCCAUGGUUAAUGAACACAUUGUGCAACACAUCAGCUAAUAACGCAGUAAGGAUGUGCGCUUAGCACAAUGCUCUACACCAUUACUUAUCUAAUAAACUGUAGGAGGCAACUGCCAUUAGCACUGGCGCUGAUGCUGAUAUUCACCUCCCACUGGCAGGCUUGUGCAAGCUAAUCUGCCGUAUACUGUAUGCAAAUAGGAAACUGUUACUGUCAGGAUGCGGUCUAAUUCCACAUUAUUCUCCAGGUAGCGGGCCAAUCAGGUUGACUUUGAAACGGAUCAUGGGUGAUUAGCCGGGAAUGCUGGGAGAAUGCCGAGGUCUCUCUGGUGAACCCCGCAGCUGGUGCCGGAGUCAGCGGAGCAACGAUCCAGGUAAUUAAUUCUUUGACAAGCAUCAGUGAUUUGGAAAAUCAGUAAGAAUGGCAGACGCUGAUCAAAAGGGAAACACGUGGAGAGAUGUUUAAACAGUGGGCGAAUGAGGCGUCAGUCACGCAGGGGCCCAGACGCAGGGCCCGCAGCCCAACACCAAACAGCACAAUACACUGAGCUGACUAUCAAACAACAGCAGGAUGGAGGAUAGCAGGCGUGUUUUUGGAUUGGCAGUCACAGAAAUGCAUGAAGUUAUGCACCGAGUAAUGCACUCACACAUCCAAUUAAUGGAAGUUAAUUUGUUCUGCAAGACCUGAUACACAUGGACACACACACUCACAAAGGCAAAUGUAUCCAUACAUACAUCGGCAUGCAUUCAGACUUAUAGUUAUCAUCUAAACAUACUAUUACCAUGCACUCAACAUGUAUAGUAAACAAUUCAAAUAUAUGGACUCAAUGUAAAAUUACAGAUAAACCACACAUGUAUAUUCCAGUCACAAAUCCAUGCGUGCAGUACAAACAUUAUGAACGUACACUGCAGGAACAUAACUCAAUAUACGCACAUGGACAUGUGGUAAAGAUCAAUUCAUUUUCAGUAUUUAUUAUACAUAUUGCACUAAGCCUAUAUCUGUUGAAUGAAAUGCAAACAAUGGCAUGAUAUUCAUGGGCAUGAGAUCACAUAGAUGCAAGUGCACACACACGGCACUCUUCAUAAAUACACAAGAGGUUGGGUUGACGUUACUGCCAUAUCCUUGAUUAAAUCAUGCCUAUAUCCUUUAUUUGAUUGUGUGGCCAGAAAGAAAGAACACACAAACCGAAAAAGCGUAAUGAAACAUCAUCGGCACGGCUAUUACAGAAGUGCUGUCCAGAAUACAAAUUCCCCAUGCAGGUAUUUGUUUUCAUCCAUCUGUAUUCAUUAUGCGAGCGAAUGUAUCAUUGGAGUGUAGCUAUUGAUCCCGUAUUAAAUCUCAUUGUUAUUUUCCUAUUCAGCGGCAAGCCAGGUGAGGGGGAAAAAGAAGGGUGACCAAAUGUCAUGGUGACAACAUGCAGCAUUGUCAAAGGUAGCUUUAUCGAUCAAGAUAGACAGAAAGGGAGAGGGGAGAUAUUUCUGCAGGACCCCAACCGUCUGACAUUUUAGAAAAGCUGUCCUUUCUGUUUUGUCACCCCUUAUUGUCACACACAAAGAGCAUGGAUGCCUUGACUGAGGCAGUUUGAGCCGUGGCCUUCGCACCCAGCAGCGACAGAGAGCCGGCCCGCAUGUUGCCCGGCAAAGUAGGGAGUCUUGUCCAUUAUAUUUAUCGGUGGUAAUUUCACAAUUCACAUGCUGUGUUUUCUGAGAAGGUGGGCUAAGCAUUGUGCUGGCUCCUUGCUUUGACAUUUUAAAGGCCUUGCUGUCAAACCUUAUCAGCCGUUCAUCUGAAACAUACUGUGGAUGGAGGCUCUGGUUUGGUUGGGGUCCAAUUAGCUUGCCAGACAUGUACAGCAAUUCUUCAGACAACUUAGAUGACUCAGAAACAUCCCCAGUGGGACUUCCCAUCUCUUUCUUUUCCACCUCAGAUUCAAGUGAAAGCUGGUGGUGGAAAGAAGGCAAGUGAGGGAGCACAAAGAAGCGCACAGGCGAGUGG
rnacentral:lncRNA from 1 species